GAUGAACGCUGGCGGCGUGCUUAACACAUGCAAGUCGAACGGAAAGGCCCAAGCUUGCUUGGGUACUCGAGUGGCGAACGGGUGAGUAACACGUGGGUGAUCUGCCCUGCACUUCGGGAUAAGCCUGGGAAACUGGGUCUAAUACCGGAUAGGACCACAUUUUGGAUGGUGUGGUGGAAAGUUUUUCGGUGUGGGAUGAGCUCGCGGCCUAUCAGCUUGUUGGUGGGGUAAUGGCCUACCAAGGCGUCGACGGGUAGCCGGCCUGAGAGGGUGUACGGCCACAUUGGGACUGAGAUACGGCCCAGACUCCGACGGGAGGCAGCAGUGGGGAAUAUUGCACAAUGGGCGCAAGCCUGAUGCAGCGACGCCGCGUGGGGGAGGACGGCCUUCGGGUUGUAAACUCCUUUCGCUAGGGACGAAGCGUUAUGUGACGGUACCUGGAGAAGAAGCACCGGCUAACUACGUG
rnacentral:rRNA from 1 species